rnacentral:rRNA from 1 species
GGGGAAUCUUCCGCAAUGGACGAAAGUCUGACGGAGCAACGCCGCGUGAGUGAUGACGGCCUUCGGGUUGUAAAGCUCUGUUAAUCGGGACGAAAGGUCUUCUUGCGAAUAGUUAGAAGAAUUGACGGUACCGGAAUAGAAAGCCACGGCUAACUACGUGCCAGCAGCCGCGGUAAUACGUAGGUGGCAAGCGUUGUCCGGAAUUAUUGGGCGUAAAGCGCGCGCAGGCGGAUCAGUCAGUCUGUCUUAAAAGUUCGGGGCUUAACCCCGUGAUGGGAUGGAAACUGCUGAUCUAGAGUAUCGGAGAGGAAAGUGGAAUUCCUAGUGUAGCGGUGAAAUGCGUAGAUAUUAGGAAGAACACCAGUGGCGAAGGCGACUUUCUGGACGAAAACUGACGCUGAGGCGCGAAAGCCAGGGGAGCGAACGGGAUUAGAUACCCCGGUAGUCCUGGCCGUAAACGAUGGGUACUAGGUGUAGGAGGUAUCGACCCCUUCUGUGCCGGAGUUAACGCAAUAAGUACCCCGCCUGGGGAGUACGACCGCAAGGUUG